CGUUGUUUGGUUGGUCUAUUGGUAUUAUGUUUUGCUCUUGCUUCUACCAUAUACCAGACUCGUUAUUCUGAAGCAAACGUAUGGAAAGAGAAGCUUGAAAAAGAAGCUUGCUGCCAGAGAAUUAGCAUCAGGGGUCACGGGGAGCCUGCAGUCUAUCCCAGGGGACUCGGGGCAUGAGGCAAGAGGUAGGGGACAACCCUUCCACAGAGCACAAUCACACACCCUUUCACAGAUGCCAAGCUGCCUACAAGGCAUGUCCCGGAAGCAUGGGGAGAACAUGCAAACUCUGCACAUACAAGGCGGAAGUGGGAAUUGAAUCUCCAACCCCAAGGUGUGAGGCUAUCAUGCUAAAUGCUAAGCCACUAACCACUUAUCCUGCACAGGCUCGGAGUGGAGUGUGGAGCCUAUCCCAGGGAACUUGGGGCACAAGGCAGGGGGCAUGGUCAGAGUACCAAGCCAUCACAGGGCACAAUCGCACACACAUUCACACACUAUGGACAAUUUGGAAAUGCCAAUCAGCGAAUGUCUUUGGACUGGGGGAGGAAAAACUGGGUGCCCGGAGGAAACCCCUAAGGCACAGGAAGAACAUGCAAGUUCUGCACACCUAGGGUGGAAGCAGGAUUCGAGCCACCACCCCCCAAAGGUAUGAGGCAAAUGUGCUAACCACUAAGCCACCAUACCUCCUGCAUGUUUAAGAUAAGAUUUUUUUUUAUUUUUUUUAUUUAUUUAAUUUUUUUUUAUUAUGCUAUUUUAUAACUAUUUUCUAGAUAUGGCA
ensembl:lncRNA